rnacentral:rRNA from 1 species
AUUGAACGCUGGCGGCAGGCCUAACACAUGCAAGUCGAGCGGUAACACUUCGGGUGACGAGCGGCGGACGGGUGAGUAACGCGUAGGAAUCUACCCAGUAGUGGGGACAACAGUUGGAAACGACUGCUAAUACCGCAUACGCCCUACCGGGGAAAGGGGGCUUCGGCUCUCGCUAUUGGAUGAGCCUGCGUGAGAUUAGCUAGUUGGUAAGGUAAUGGCUUACCAAGGCAACGAUCUCUAGCUGGUUUGAGAGGAUGAUCAGCCACACUGGGACUGAGACACGGCCCAGACUCCUACGGGAGGCAGCAGUGGGGAAUAUUGCACAAUGGGCGAAAGCCUGAUGCAGCCAUGCCGCGUGUGUGAAGAAGGCUCUAGGGUUGUAAAGCACUUUCAGCAGUGAGGAAAGGUUGUUGGUUAACACCCAAUAACUGUGACGUUAACUGCAGAAGAAGCACCGGCUAACUCCGUG